AUUGAACGCUGGCGGCAUGCUUUACACAUGCAAGUCGAACGGUAACAGGCCUUCGGGCGCUGACGAGUGGCGAACGGGUGAGUAAUGCAUCGGAACGUGCCCAGUCGUGGGGGAUAACGCAGCGAAAGCUGUGCUAAUACCGCAUACGAUCUGCGGAUGAAAGCGGGGGACCUUCGGGCCUCGCGCGAUUGGAGCGGCCGAUGUCAGAUUAGGUAGUUGGUGGGGUAAAGGCUCACCAAGCCAACGAUCUGUAGCUGGGCUGAGAGGACGACCAUCCACACUGGGACUGAGACACGGCCCAGACUCCUACGGGAGGCAGCAGUGGGGAAUUUUGGACAAUGGGCGCAAGCCUGAUCCAGCAAUGCCGCGUGCAGGAAGAAGGCCUUCGGGUUGUAAACUGCUUUUGUACGGAGCGAAAAGGCUCCCUCUAAUACAGGGGGCUCAUGACGGUACCGUAAGAAUAAGCACCGGCUAACUACGUGCCAGCAGCCGCAGUAAUAC
rnacentral:rRNA from 1 species